AGUGAACGCUGGCGGCAGGCCUAACACAUGCAAGUCGAACGAACCUUUCGGGGUUAGUGGCGGACGGGUGAGUAACACGUGGGAACGUGCCUUUAGGCUCGGAAUAACUCAGGGAAACUUGUGCUAAUACCGAAUGUGCCCUUCGGGGGAAAGAUUUAUCGCCUUUAGAGCGGCCCGCGUCUGAUUAGCUAGUUGGUUGAGGUAAUGGCUCACCAAGGCGACGAUCAGUAGCUGGUCUGAGAGGAUGAUCAGCCACAUUGGGACUGAGACACGGCCCAAACUCCUACGGGAGGCAGCAGUGGGGAAUCUUGCGCAAUGGGCGAAAGCCUGACGCAGCCAUGCCGCGUGAAUGAUGAAGGUCUUAGGAUUGUAAAAUUCUUUCACCGGGGACGAUAAUGACGGUACCCGGAGAAGAAGCCCCGGCUAACUUCGUG
rnacentral:rRNA from 1 species